AUUUCACUGUGACGGCUUAUUGUUAUGCGU
rnacentral:sRNA from 1 species